AAAAUAUCAAACUUUCUCUGUAGUCUACAGUUAGCUAGUUACUGUAAAUGUAGGCUACUUUUAAAAUGCCAUGUUGUCCCUCUUCACCAAAACAGACGUAAAAGUAUCACACUUUCUCUG